UCUUUUAUUCCAUUUUCUCUCAAGAACAAGAAGAUGGUUUUCAAUUGGGGAUUUAAUUUCAAGCAUCUUUCCAUCAAUCUUCCAAGAAUCACGAACUAAGGUAUGCGUGUGUUGAUUGGCUUCCUUUCUUCCAUAAAGCUCAAAAAAAUCAUCUUCUAAAAAUCAUCUUGGACACUGCCAGAUUUGAGGGUCACUUACAGCUUGUCUUUACCCGUGGCAUGGUAUUGACACCCUUCCAAUCAGGGCAAGGAUUGGACCCCAUUUCAGCUACAUUAGAAUACAUGGGGCAUGUCAGUUAAACUAGUACCUCCCACAGUUUCAGUCAUUCAGUCUCAGUAAAAGAACUCAGAUAGUUCUUCAGAAUAUCAGGACUGUCAGACACAGUCAACUCAGAUAUAGUACGGAACUCAGAUAGUUCCAUCAGAUUUAGGGCUGUUAGCUACAGUCACCCAUGUUAUCAGUAUCUAGUAGCAAGGCUAUCAAAUAUAGUCACUCAGGUUAUCAGCUAUAUCAGCUAUCAGAAAUCAUUUGCUAGUCAUAUUAGAUUUCAGUAAACUCAUGCUAUCAUACUCAGUUUCAGGACUAUCAGAUAUAGUCAUUUAGACCAGUCCUUCAUAAUCAGGACUGCUAGAAACAAUCAUUCCUUUAUCAGUAAGAAAGUAUCAGUCUCUUAGUAUUCAGUAAUACAGUAUUAGUUCCUCACUUAUUAGUGAUUCACAGAUCAAUAUCAGUAAACACAGUCACUUAGUAUCUCAGAACUGGUAAACUCAUAUUAUCAGUAUUCAGACUCAGUAGUCAGUAUCGUCAAGAGUUCAGUAGCAGUUACUUAUGUAUGUAUGUGUUCUCACGUCCAUAUCAGUCAGCAUUGUUCAUGCAUUCAAACCCUUUGUAUUUAGCCUACCUCACUCGUAUACUCAGUACUCUCAGUUGUACUGACGCAUUCGCGCUAUGGUGCUUUCUUUUAUGUUACACUAUAGGUUCAGAUACAUGAUUUCCAGACCAGCAGUAGCAGUAGAAUCCUACCUGUCAGAGUUCCAGCAGUGAGUCCUCGUCUCUCGAGGGCAUGAUCAUUACUUAUGUUAUGGUUUAUUUCAGUUCAGUUUUGCUAGUCGGAGUUAGUUGGGGACAUGUCCCAUCAACUCCCUAUUUAGACAGUCAUGUUAGAGGCUUUU
rnacentral:lncRNA from 1 species